rnacentral:rRNA from 1 species
GACGAACGCUGGCGGCGUGCUUAACACAUGCAAGUCGAACGGAAAGGCCCUGCUUUUGUGGGGUGCUCGAGUGGCGAACGGGUGAGUAACAUGUGAGUAACCUGCCCUUGACUUUGGGAUAACUUCAGGAAACUGGGGCUAAUACCGGAUAGGAGCUCCUGCUGCAUGGUGGGGGUUGGAAAGUUUCGGCGGUUGGGGAUGGACUCGCGGCUUAUCAGCUUGUUGGUGGGGUAGUGGCUUACCAAGGCCUUGACGGGUAGCCGGCCUGAGAGGGUGACCGGCCACAUUGGGACUGAGAUACGGCCCAGACUCCUACGGGAGGCAGCAGUGGGGAAUAUUGCACAAUGGGCGGAAGCCUGAUGCAGCAACGCCGCGUGCGGGAUGACGGCCUUCGGGUUGUAAACCGCUUUCGCCUGUGACGAAGCGUGAGUGACGGUAAUGGGUAAAGAAGCACCGGCUAACUACGUG